UGUGAGGGGAUCCUCGGUGUUCCAUUGGAGCAGGUCCAGGGGAAUCAGGACUUAUCUGGAGCUGAGGGGGAACUCGGUGUCCUUUUUCCUUUCAGCAGAAUCCGUGGGGUUCCAUUCAAGAUUCAAUAGGUGAGACAGGCCUCCUCUUGUGGUGCGAGGGGAAGUUGGGAGUUUUCUUGAGCUACAGCAGGGAGUGGGCCCUCAUCUCCAGAGGAGGUGAGAAACACAGGGCUCUUCUCUACUUGUGGUGGGAAACUCGGGUUCCAUCUCGAGUUGUGACGGGGUCUCUGGGCCCCCUUGAGUUGCAUGAAGGGAGUCACGCCUC
ensembl:lncRNA